rnacentral:lncRNA from 13 species
GUACAAAAGGGAAAAUAAAUCUAAAUAAAUGUAGGUUGUAUUUACAAUGGUGUUUGUUCUUCACUGGUUGCCCUUUUCUUGUGGCAACAGGUCACAAAUCUUGCUGCUGUGAUGGCACACUGUGGUAUUUCACCCAAUAGAUAUGGGAGUUAAUUAAAAUUGGAUUUGUUUUCAAGUUCUUUGUGCGUCUGUGUAAUGUGAGGAAAAUAUGUGUCUCUAAUAUGGUCAUACCAUAUUAGGUUAGGAAGUAUUAGGUGCAGCUCAGUUUCCACCUCAUUUUGUGGGCAGUGUCUUUCUUCUCUUGACAGCCAGGUCUGCCUUCGGCGGCCUUUGUCAAUACCAAGGCUAAGUCUGUUCCUUAAGUUUGGGUCAGUCACGGUGGUCAGGUAUUCUGCCACUUGGUACUCUCUGUUUAAGACCAAAUAGCAUUCUAGUUUGCUCUGUUUUUUUGUCAAUUCUUUCCAUUAAAUGAUCUUUUUGUUUUCUCAUGAUGUGGUUGGGUCUAAUUGUGUUGCUGUCCUGGGGCUCUGUGGGGUUCUGUUUGUGUUUGUGAAUAGAGCCACAGGACCAACUUGCUUAGGGGGCUCUUCUCCAGUGUCAUUUCUCUGUCGGUGAUGGCUUUGUUAUGGAAUGUUUGGGAAUCUCUUCCUUCCAGUGGUCCAAGGCACAGUCGAAUCUCAGUCGAAUCCAGGUUGUAUCUGUCACAUGACCCUGGAGAGACGAAGCAGGUACGGGGAGUCAAGCAUUUAAUAAAUAACGGACAUGGAACGAGUCAGGAACAGCGUCAGCAAACUAAUACUAAAGACAAAAACAAUACAAUGCAGCAACGGGGAACAGAGCAGGGAUGUUAUGGUGAGUGAAUGAGGACCCAAAAGCGAACUAACUUAAACAGAGCUUCUUUAAUAACCAAACAUAGGUAGGCUCAGAUAGACCGGCAGAUUCCGACAGGACAGGACAAGGUUACAGCAAACAUGACGAUAGUCUGACUCAGGCAUGAAACACAAACAAGAAUCCGACAAGGACAGGAACAGAAACAGAGAGAGAUAUAGGGACCUAAUCAGAGGGAAAAAGGGAACAGGUGGGAAACGGGGUGAAUGGGUAGUUAGAGGAGACAAGGAACAGCUGGGAGAAAGCGGGGGAGAAAAGGUAACCUAACAACGACCAGCAGAGGGAGACAGGGUGAAGGGAAAGGACAGAGACAAGACACAACAUGACAGUACCCCCCCACUCACCGAGCGCCUCCUGGCGCACUCGAGGAGGAAACCUGGCGGCAACGGAGGAAAUCCUCGAUCAGCGCACGGUCCAGCACGUCCCGAGAGGGAACCCAACUCCUCUCCUCAGGACCGUACCCCUCCCAAUCGACAAGGUACUGGUGACCACGGCCCCGAGGACGCAUGUCCAAAAUCCUGCGGACCCUGUAGAUGGGUGCGCCCUCGACAAGGAUG